rnacentral:tRNA from 1 species
UCAGACUCAAUAGAAUUGGAUCCAUUCCAAAUAGCGAGAAUUAGGAUUCUGGAUCCCUCUCAAUCUCUCUUUCAAUUCGAGGAUCCAGAGAGGUGUUUUCAUAGUCAUCUCCGAAUAUUUGCCAUCUCCGAAUAUUUUCGAUUUCAUUUUUCUAUGAUAUGUCUUUCUAUAUGAAAAUUGGUUAUUUACGAUGUACGAUGAUCCCUGUUAAGCAUCCAUGGCUGAAUGGUUAAAGCGCCCAACUCAUAAUUGGUAAAUUUGCGGGUUCAAUUCCUGCUGGAUGCACGCGAACCGGAACGUUCCAUAAGUCUAUUGGAACUGGCUCUCUAUCCAUGGAAUCUCAUCCAUCAUCCAUACAUAACGAAUUGG